AGACGGAGGGCGCGAGCGUUGUUCGGAAUUACUGGGCGUAAAGCGCGCGCAGGCGGAUCUUCAAGUCGGGAGUGAAAUACCGGGGCUCAACUCCGGGGCGGCUUCCGAGACUGAGGGUCUGGGGACCGGUAGAGGCCGGUGGAAUUCCCGGUGUAGCGGUGGAAUGCGUAGAGAUCGGGAAGAACACCCGUGGCGAAGGCGGCCGGCUGGGCCGGAUCCGACGCUGAGGCGCGAAAGCGUGGGGAGCAAACAGGAUUAGAUACCCUGGUAGUCCACGCUGUAAACGAUGGGUGCUAGGUGCCGGGGGGAGCGACCCCUUCGGUGCCGGAGCUCACGCGUUAAGCACCCCGCCUGGGGAGUACGGCCGCAAGGCUGAA
rnacentral:rRNA from 1 species